GACGAACGCUGGCGGCGUGCUUAACACAUGCAAGUCGAACGCUGAAGCUCAGCUUGCUGGGUGGAUGAGUGGCGAACGGGUGAGUAACACGUGAGUAACCUGCCCUCUUCUUUGGGAUAACGCCCGGAAACGGGUGCUAAUACUGGAUAUUCACUGAUUCUCGCAUGGGGGUUGGUGGAAAGGUUUUUUCUGGUGGGGGAUGGGCUCGCGGCCUAUCAGCUUGUUGGUGGGGUGAUGGCCUACCAAGGCUUUGACGGGUAGCCGGCCUGAGAGGGUGACCGGUCACAUUGGGACUGAGAUACGGCCCAGACUCCUACGGGAGGCAGCAGUGGGGAAUAUUGCACAAUGGGCGAAAACCUGAUGCAGCGACGCCGCGUGAGGGAUGGAGGCCUUCGGGUUGUAAACCUCUUUCGCUCAUGGUCAAGCCGCAGCGUUGGGUUGUGGUGAGGGUAGUGGGUAAAGAAGCGCCGGCUAACUACGUG
rnacentral:rRNA from 1 species